rnacentral:lncRNA from 1 species
UGAUAUUGAGUUUGAUACAAAAGAAGAAGAUGAACUUUUCUCUUCAAUCUUCAAUUCAUAAAAAGCUACCUAAACUUAGCUACUACUUCCCUUAUAUAGAAAAUACAAAGUAGAAUACUUGCAUGCAAAGACUUCCAAAUUAGGUCAAAUUUGUGGCUACUGCUGGUAGUCUUCUUGAGGCAUUACGUCUUCAGAAAAACCUAAUUCUCUUGGGCGUAAGUUGUAGCUUGGAUCAAGACCUUCAAUUUGAUAGCUCAUGGGCGCAAAUCAGACUUCUGGAUCUCCUUGUAGAGCAUUUUUAAGUUUGGACUUUAAAUAAAGCCCUAAAUAGAAAAUCUGACUUGUGAGCUCCAAUAGAACCCGGUUUGGGUUGAGAUUUGGACCGCCCCACUUUGACAUAAAGUCAAGUCAACUGAAGUGACCUUGGGGUGCCCUCAGCAGAUCUGUGGGUGCAAAUAUCAAUUCUUUUCCUCUUGUGCAAAUAACACAUUUUUGCUUACUUUUCUUGACUUUUUGCGGGCUUUAACACAAUAUUCGCAUUUCGGCUCAUGAAACCUACCCAAUAGACAAGAAAGCACUAAUCAAUAAAUAUAACACAAUAAUAUAAGCUAAGUUCUAGACAAACAAGGUGUUAUUAGGGGGAUAAAUAUAAACUUUUGAGGACUUAUCAAAUGGUUAAAUAACUAAAAAUGACAACAACGUUUGCAACAAUUUUCACUUUUAACAAUGUAUUGCAAAUCAUAACAAUGAAGUGAAGUUUCAUUACACUCGAUAACAACUAUGUUUUCUUCCGGUACAACUAUGUUUUCUUCCGGUACCGGAAGCCGGUGAUCGGUCCACAUGGUAAUUGUAUAAGCUGAUAUGUCAAUAAAAAAUUUAAAAAAAUACACUUAAUCAAAUAAAAAGUAUUAUAUCAAAGACAAUAAUAUAGCAUUAUAUAUUAUUAUCAAAGUAGGGUUUGUGACUAAAGUAUGUAAAUUUUUUAUGUAAAUUUAGGGAUUUUUAAUUAUAGUAAUAUAUUAACGAAAUUGAUUCUCACAAGUACAAUAAUAAAUCAUUAUACAAUUUUAUGACCUAAAUCAUAUUAUUGAUUAUAUGUGUGUUUUUUUUUAUUGAUAGGUCAAUUCUACAAUUGCCACGUGGACAGGUUAUCAUCGGCUUCAGCUACCGGAGCAAAACAUGGUUGUUAUCGGGUGUAAUAAAAAUUCACUUGGUUGUCAUGAUCUGCAAUACAUUGUUAAAAGUGAAAAUUGUUGCAAACGUUGUUGUUAUUUUCAGUUUGACCCUUAUCAAAUACCCCCAAACAACACUUUGCUUGUCCUCAAGCAAAGGUUAGAAGAAAAUAAUUAAGGACUCAAAAGAGAAGUAAAACUAAGAUGAUUGCAUUAACCAUAUGCAUCAAGGCUUUCAACUACAAGGAUUUCCCAAGUGAAGGAGUUAUAGUCUCUUGAGGGUUUUCCAGAGAAGAUACCCACAAACUUACUACAAUGACUAAUCCAAGGAAUAAGAUUUUCUACCAUUUACUUCAGAAAUGGUCAUAUCAAGGAUAAGGAUAAAUAUUUUAAAGUCGUUCAUAUGAGAUAACAUAAUACAAAUGUAACGCCCCGGGAUUUCGUCCUCGCUCAUCCCAGUGCGUCGAGCACCAUACCGCUCGCUAAUGUCAAUAUUGACCCCCUUUAGUUACUGCGGAUAUCCAGCAGUAGAGGGUUUUGGAUCAGGGCCCACCCAUGUGGUUUACCCCAAAAGGCCUUGACAUUAGUUAGAGUAUGGUUAAGCUCUAUAUACUACCAGUACAACCACUUCCUUGGCAAUGUGGGACUAACACCAACUCAUGGGUGUUACAAUCUCACCACCUUAGAAAUAGAGCCGUCCUCGGCUCUGCAGUACACUCAGUACAGUCCCAAAAUCUCCGACGUUCCCUGCCAAGUGAGACAAGUACCUGGCGCUCCCUGGGCCUUUCCAGCGUACUUUCCCACCUGCAACAGGCGACCCGUCGUCGGCUCUGAUACCAUCUGUAACGCCCCGGGAUUUCGUCCUCGCUCAUCCGGUGCGUCGAGCACCAUACCGCUCGUUAAUGUCAAUAUCGUCCCCCUUUAGUCACUACGGAUAUCCAACAGUAGAGGGUUUUGGAUCAGGGCCCACCCAUGUGGUUUACACCAAAAGACCUUGACUUUAGUUAGAGUAUGGUUAAGCUCUAUAUACUACCAAUACAACCACUUCCUUGGCAAUGUGGGACUAACACCAACUCAUGGGUGUUACAACAAAUGCAUGAAUAAUAUAUGAAAUAUAAACCAAACAUAACGGUUUCAAAUGCAUUGAAGACAGGCAUGUACCCAUGCUACCACGGGUUAUAAGUCACCAUUGGAAAGGUCGCCUUGACUUCUGCCUCACAGGCAUACACUCAGAAAUAAAAGUCACUCAGAGAUGGUGUUUAUCAUUUUACCUCUAUGUGAGGAAAGAAGAUGGACAAUCAUCUCACAUAUAUCAAUAACAACGGACUGGGGUAAUGGAAUGAACAGUCUCAAAUAAUGGAAAAAUUAGCCUUCCUUGAAAUGUCGGGUUUUUCACCUUAGCACCUUCUCACUUACUCGCCACAUCCUACCAUAUCAGCUUAGAUCUACAAAAGACAGUAAUGGGUUGUAACUUGGCUUAGGACAGGGCUAGAAAUGUAAAAGGCUCCAGCCAAUAUUUUGGAAUCUUCCUUUCUUUUUGGAUUUGAUAUAGUUUGGGAGAAUUCUUGUUUUUUCUGGAAUUUCUUCAAACUUUUUGUUUUUCAAUAUUUUGUUUAUCUGACUAGUUUGAAGAUUUCUUUGUAUUUCUCCUUUCUUCUUGUAACCACAUAAACAAUCAUCCUCAUGUUCCAAAAACAAUGGGUAAAAGGACCUAUAUAUUCUAAAGAUAUUUACUCCUACAAUGGAGUUGGGUAAGGAUAAUGGGCUCAAGAAAAAGGCUAAGUAACAAGAACGGCUCAUAAUGGUCAACCUAAGGGAUAAAAAUCAUCAGGGUAGGCUAAGGUAAACAGGGUUUAUCUAGAUGUCUUUGUAUCAUUUCUAUUUACUGAUAUGGUGAUCACAUCUUGAAUAAGCUACAAGACCCAAGUUUAUAUUACACCCACUUGAUUUCAUCUCAAGGCUAAUUACAAAAAAUGAAUAUGAGACUAAAAACAGACAAAACUGAGAGGUUGAGUCUUUUGACUCCAGAUUGAUGUAAUAUCUCUCCACGAAAAGGACGGGGCUCAAAAGCUCACUAGGUUAAGUCUCCACACUUAUUCCUCAAGUUUCUCAAGGUGUAGUUGUAUUUGCACAUGUAAUCUGUAAUAAAUACAGAUGAAUGCCAUGCAUACGCUCAUGCAAAUGUAGUAUAAGACUCAACUACUUGGUGAAGCAAUAAAUGUCCUUAAACUUGAAAAGAAAAGAAUUCGACCAUUAUAUUCAUGAUUGAUGGUGUAUUUAUCCUGUUUUUUUGAAAAGUCUUUGUAACAAAGAUUUUUGUUGAUUUUUCAAAAAUUUUGAAUUUUUACACAAGUAUGGAUAAAGAAGUUUGAAAAUCAUUCGCAAAAAGGAUUGUAAUACUUCCCUACCCCCAAACAAAAAGAUUGUCUUGUCCUCAAGGCUCAUACUAUGCAUAGGAGAGAGAGUAAGAAAGAUAUUACCAUGAAUGUACUAAAAAUUCAAGCCGCUUUAUAAAUUCCUGCUAAACAAAAUUAUCUCCACAUAUAUAGAGAUUAUAAGGAAUUCCAUACUAAGACAACUGAAUUAAAAUAUACUGAAAUAAAGGACUAACUCAACAGAAAAGGGAAAUCCUAAUACUCAGUGUUAGGCACCCAAGUGAAUAACCCAUAAAGCGGCAGUAGCCUCAUUAGUAGGAAGGCAAGUAGUAGGUGCACCAUUAACAUAAUUCUGAGGAUAGAAGGAAAAAGUCUUUGUAACAAGAAAGGCUCAGAAUGGUCAACCUAGGGGAUAAUGUAUCAUCAGGGUAGGCUAAGGUAAACAGGGUUUAUCUAAAUGUCUUUGUAUCAUUUCUAAGUACUGAUAUGGUGAUCACAUCUUGAAUAAGCUACAAGUCCCUAGUUUAUUUUACACCACCUUGAUGUCAUCUCAAGGCUAACUAUAAAAAUGAAUAUGAGACUAAAAACAGACAAAACUGAGAGGUUGAUUCUUUUGACUCCAGAUUGAUGUAAUAUCUCUCCAAGAAAACGACGGGGCUCAAAAGCUCACUAGAUUAAGUCUCCACACUUAUUCCUCAAGUUUCUCAAGGUGUAGUUGUAUUUCCACAUGUAAUUUGUAAUAAAUGCAAGUGAAUGCCAUGCUUAUGCUCAUACAAAUGUAGUAUGAGACUCAACUACUUGGUGAAGCAAUAAAUGUCCUUAAACUUGAAAAAGAUAGAAUUCAACCAUUAUAUUCAUCAUUGAUGGUGUACUUAUCCUAUUUUUUGAAAAAGUCUUUGUAACAAAGAUUUUUUUAGGUUUUUUUCAAAAUUAUUGAAUUUUUACGCAAGUAUGGAUAAUGAAGUUUGAAAAUCAUUUGCAAAAAGGAUUGUAAUACUUCCCCACCCCCAAACAAAAAUAUUGCCUUGUCCUCAAGGUUCAUACUAUGCAUAGGAGAGAGUAAGAAAGAUAUUCCCAUGAAUGUACUAAAAAUUCAAACCGCUUUAUAAAUUCCUGCCAAAUAAAAUUAUCUCCACAUACAUAGAGAUUACAAGGAAUUCCAUACUAAGACACAACUGAAAUAAAAUGUACUGAAAUAAAAGAUUGACUCAACAGAAAGUAAAAUCCUACUUUAUACUCUUGGUUUCAAACUUGUCCUACUGGGAAACCAUCCAACCUAUCGCGCCAAUCAGUUAAUGCCUCUUUAAUCACAUUCCAAGACCCCUCACCUUCAUCCAUAAAAUUAUUGUUUCUAUGCAAAGCAGGAAACUCUACAUACUCAGUGUUAGGCACCCAAGUGAAUAGGCGACUUCUCCUAAUAAAACAAUGAGUUGGAUCUAUAGGUAUAAGGUGAGUCCAAUCAUUGAACCUGUUUUUUCACUCAGGAUAGCUUUCAAGAAUAAUCUUACAGAUAUCAGUAGGGAAAACGAGCUUAUCCUCACCGAAUACGAACACAUUCCUAAUGCCAUCUAAAAUCCAAGUGGAUAAGUCAAUAUCAUAAAAAUUUGUAACAAUACCAACUACGGCAUGCAUAGUACUAUCAUUGACAUAAUCCAUCACCCAGCAAAUUACGCAAAACCCAUAAAGCAGCAGUAGCUACAUUAGCAGGAAGACAAGUGGUAGGUGCAAUACUAGGGUAUCCUUCGGGGUGAAAAGAGAAGAAACACGGGCCAAAGUGAUUAAGGUAGUUGUCUAUGAUGUCUACACGGUUAUCUCGAACAUAAUUGUCAUAGGGCACGACCGGUUGAAAAACAAAAAGAUUACCCAUGGCAAUAGAGACGACAAUAACAUUAAAAACCACCGGGGAACUAUGCAUAUGAACUUGGAAACCAUCAAAGGGAAGAGGGUCGCCAAAGGGUAACAAAAGGUAAAAGUCUCUUACCAUAGAAGGGGAAUACACAGCCGUAGAAUCAUAAAGAAAACCUUCCCAACCUUUGUCAAAAAUCCCAUUACGAAAACAAACUCCAAAAACCAGUGCGAAAACCCAGAAGAAAUAACACAAAACGAGCUCAGAAAACUGCUGCCAGAUCUAAACUCGACUCGAGUUUGGUUAAGCCUAUAAGGAACUCGACUCCAGUUCGGGUAGGUUUCAGAAAAUAAAAAAUUGGAAAGUGUUUCUGAAUUUUGAGUGACGGUCCUCCAACCUUGGUUUGGUAUAUAUAGGCCAAAAAUAAAGAGUUUGAGCCCUAAUAGGACACCAAAGAUUGCCUAAAACCUUAGGGUUUCCAAAACUCAAACCCUAAUCUCUUUUCUUUUAAAAUAUUUGGACUUAGGUCCCUAGGACCAGAAAUUUUUUAAAACACAUCCACAAGUCCAGAUUUUUGCAAUGAAGCCCAAGAAUGGCUAAAAAUUUUCAGAAAAGGACAAAAGUUUCCAAAAAUUAAGAACUCAACCAUUUUCAUUAAUUUUUGGAAAUAAAGUACAAUGAUUGAAAUUAUAAUACAAGAGUGCAAGAACUAAAAUAGAACAAAAUACAUAAGAAAAAUUACAAUAGCUAAUAAACAGAAAUUUUCAACCCGGUCGUCGACGAGAUUGCCCCUGGCCUUCGUCAACGCGACGCUGCAAGUCCAGGACCGCGUUCAAAAUCUAGCCCAUACCCCUCCAGAGAAGCUGGAACCGUUCAUCAUUGGUAUGGAGCUGGUGAAACGCCCGCUAUUCGUCAGGCAUGUACUGAAUGGGUACCUCCUCUUAAGAUCCACAACAACUGUGUACAGGCAGACAGUCCCGGGUUGGAGACCUCGAGCCGGACGACCGACUCCAGAGAAAGAGCAGGAAGAAGAGGCGCCUCCCAGUAGCGCAAGGUACUCAUCACCAGUCUUGGUAAGGGCGCAGAAGUGGCUCGAGCACCGGUGAUGGUAGUGAAAAGACGGCGGACCAUGCAGUAGCCGUGGAGGUCCUCCUGAAGCUGCCGGAGGAUAUGAAUCCCCUCCAAGAACAACUACUCGUCCUCAUCGUCCCAAGGACAUUGGUGGUCAGCCAGUGUGCCACCAUGCCUUGGUUGACUCAGAGCCAACCGAUCGAAAUAUGACUGCUAUACCGGUGAACCGCCCGGUCAUCGACGAGGACAGCCUCGAUGAUGUAGCGUAACCUCCUGCUGUAGAGGAGCCUCGUCAAGAUCGAGCAUCGUGACUAAGGAGACAGUCUCCGGCGUGAGCUAGUAGCGAUGUGCCGGAUCCCAGUUGAUGAAAACGCCGUCAUCGGUCAACUCCAUUGAAUCGUAAAAUCGAAAAGAUAGUUUAUUAGCCAAAUAGCCACUAAACCCGGCAACAAAUAAGAAUCACUAAAGCACUAUCGGGGUUAGAAGAUAUACAGGGCCGCCUCCUAGGAGCGCUAAUUUAACGUCUUCAGCCACAGGGGUACAACCAGGAUUCACUCCCUAGAUAAACGUUACUCUAAACAAAGAUAAAGAAGAGAUAAAACUCUAGAGUGGAAUGAGCGAGAUCCUGAUGUUUAAUAUACAACAAAGAGUCUUUUAAAGUCAGAUACUCGAGACUUAAAAGAAGAUGGAAAAUGACUUCUUCACCCCCAAACAGAGCGGGAAACAGGUGUGUUUGGGGAUGACACUCAUGAGAAAAACGUGUACUGGAUCAAUUAUACUCAGGCAGUAAGAGUUUGUGGACUAUGGCCCGGCACUUUCAACCACACCUCUCAAAAAGAGACAAGAGAAUAAAGUAAGAAAGGGUCCGGAUACCAGCAGGUCAAGGGUCAGUCUAAAUAGGUAGGGUCCUCUAGGAGAGUUUCUUCAACUUCAGGGGACCUUAAUUCAUGGAAAUGCUUAAGACGUUGACCAUUGACUUGAAAUUCAGAAUUGUCUGCAGGGUUUAAACAAGUAAUAGCACCAUAAGGAGUUACUGCGGACACAACAAAGGGACCCGACCAACGAGACUGUAGUUUACCAGGAAAUAAAUGCAAACUAGAGUUAUACAGUAAAACUUUGUCCCCAAUUUGAAAAUCUCUACGUAAGAUCUGACGAUCAUGUAGUUUUUUCAUACUAGCUUUAUAGGACUUGGAAAGAUCAUAAGCUUCAUUCCGAAGUUCCUCAAGCUCAGAAAGAUGGAGUUUUCUCUUCUUACCUAACUGGUCGAGAUUAAAAUUGAGCUUUGUCAUUGCCUAGAAGGCUCGGUGCUCAAGCUCUACAGGUAGGUGCAAGGAAUUUCCAAAUACAAGACGAAAGGGAGACAUGCCUAUGGGAGUUUUAAAAGCAGUACGAUAUGCCCAUAAUGCAUCACUGACUCUACGAGACCAAUCAACCUUUUCAGGGUCAAUUGUUUUUUGCAAAAUGUUUUUAAUCUCUCUAUUUGAAACCUCGGCUUGGCCAUUGGUUUGCGGAUUGUAUGCAAAGGGCCAUUUUGUGAGUAACUCCGUACUUUUGGACAAGUUUUUGAAAAGCGUUAUUGCAGAAAAUGGCUCCCCCCAUCACUAAUGAUCGCACGGGGAGCGCCUAAUCAGGCAAAUAUGUACUCUUUUAGAAAAUUUACUACAGUUUCUUGGUAGUUGUGCUUUGUCGGAAUGGUCUCGAUACAUUUAGAAAAUAUAGUCUACUAUGACCAGAAUGUACAAAAAACCAUGACAACCAGGGAAAGGGCCCAUGAAAUCAAUGCCCCAUACAUCAAACACUUCUACAAGAAGAAUUGGCUGUAAGGGCAUCAUGUGUCGCCUAGUGAUUUUCCCUAGUUGUUAACAACGAGAGGACACAAUACAGUGCAUGUGAGCGUCCUUAAAAAGAGUUGGCCAAUAAAAACCACACUGCAAUACUUUAGCAGCUGUUUUCUUGGCACUAAAAUGUCCACCAUAAGCAUGGUUAUGGCAGAACUUAAGGAUGUUUUGUUGCUCCCAGUUGGGAAUACAACGACGAAUGAUCUGGUCAGGACAGUACUUAAAAAGGUAAGGGUCAUGCCAGGAAUAAUGCUUGGCAUUAGCAAGGAAUUUGGAUCUAUCUUUCUUGUUCCAAUUACUUGGAAACUUGUUGCUAGCCAAAUAAUUAACUAUAUCUGCGAACCAUGAAGCAUUCGAUAUUACAAAAAGAAGCUCAUCAAACUCUUGAAGCAACAAAAAACAACGAAUAAGGCGCUGUUUAGUUUCCUUCUUUGAGAGAAGAAAUCUAAUAGCAACAUAAUCGGUGAAGAUGACAGUACGGGUACCUAAAAGGUAGGAACGAAACUUAUCAAGAGCAUAUACUAUGGCUAAUAAUUCUUUCUCCGUCGUGGUAUAAUUACGUUGAGCAUCAUUGAGAGUCUUGCUACAUAAUAAAUGACAUGGGGUUUACCAUCUAGACGUUGACCUAAAACAGCCCCAACAGCAAAGUCUGAUGCAUUGCACAUCAGCUCAAAGGGUUUACUCCAAUCAGGCGGCCUAAUGAUGGGUGCAGUCGUGAGGGCGGUGUUAAGAUUAUCAAAAGCGCUCUUGCAUUCUUUUGUGAAAUCAAAAGGUGCAUCCUUAAGCAAUAAAUUGGUUAAGGGGCGAGUUGUCUUAGAAAAAUCUUGGAUAAAGUGUCGAUAGAAUCCUGCAUGGCCCAGAAAGGCUCGAAUAUCCCUAAUAGACUUAGGAAUAGGCAAGCAUGAAACAAGAUCUACUUUAGCUUUAUCAACCUGGAUACCCUCAAAAGAGACGACAUGACCCAGAACUAUUCCCUUUCUAACCAUUAAAUGACACGUUACCCAGUUAAGUACCAAAUUUUUCUCAAUGCAAUGUUUAAAAACCAAGGAAAGAUGACUAAGACACUCUUCAAAAGAUGAACCAUAUAUGGAGAAGUCAUCCAUAAAAACCUCCAUAAAUCGUUCUACCAUAUCACUAAAGAUGUGUAACAUACACGUCUGAAAAGUAGCAGGUGCAUUACACAAACCGAAAGGCAUACGGGCAUAAGCGAAAGUGCCAAAAGCACAAGUAAAUUUUGUCUUCUCUUGAUCUUCAGGGGUGAUAGGAAUUUGGUUAUAACUAGAGUAACCAUCUAAGAAACAAUAGAAGAAAUGACCAGCCAGGCGUUCCAACAUCUGGGCUAUAAAGGGAAGAGGAAAGUGGUCUUUCUGGGUGACUGUAUUAAGCUUCCUAUAGUCGAUACAAACACGUCACUUGGUUGGAACUCUCGUGGCGACUUGUUCGUUCUUUCAUCGCAGGGUUGAGACGUCUCUGAGGUUCACGAGAAGUUUUGGCAUCGUCCUCAAGAUGAAUACAAUGAGAAUAGACAGAAGGGCUAAUGCCUUUAAUGUCAUGGAUAGACCAGGCAAUAGCAGAACGAUGCUCUAGGAUAACUUCUAAAAGCUUACUCUCCUGUUCGGUAGUAAGAGAUGAAGAGAUAAUAACAGGAUGACUACCGUCUGAAUCAAAAUGAGCAUAUUUCAGCUCAGGAGGAAGAGGACUCAAAGUAACAGGAGGUGGAGUGAUGGUUUCAAUUUUGGGUCUCAGAAUCUAUGCUGCAAACCGAAUCAAUGGCCUCAGGGUUUUUAGGUUCAAAGAUAGGCACAGUAUCAAUGUCAAAGUCUACAUUAUGCAUCGGAAGGCAGUGAACAACCGGAUAUUCAGGGUAAUAACUAUGCACCAUCUCAUAAGGUAAUAAUUCUUGAAGGCACACAUCUUCAAAUAAGGAAAGAUCAAGGGGUUGUUGGCUAACGUUAAAUAUAUUAACUUCAACAAUCAUAGAGCCAAAAGUGAGAACUAUAGAACCGUUCUGGCAGUUUAUGAGAGCGUUAGAGGUGGCCAAGAAUGGACGGCCAAGGAUGAUGGGUACCGAGUCAUCGGCAGGGUAGUAAAAGUCAGACACUUUAACUAAUAGGUCCUCAAGUAUACCUCUAGGUACUUUCAAUGAUCUGUCGGCCAGUUGUAAUUACAUUUUCGUGGGUUUUAUGUUUGUUAGAUUCAGGCUGAGGUACAAGAAGUAAGGCAAAAGAUUAAUACUCGCUCCUAGGUCUAGCAAAGCUUUGCCCAUGAACUUGUCAUGAAGCUUGCAGGGUAUGGCCGGUUUUCCAAGGUCCUUAUAUUUUACCACGCCGUUAUAUUGGACAAGUGCAGCGAAUUUUUCCGCCACAAACGGGUUUUUAGGCACAUUCGUUUUUCUCUUGGUGGUGCAAAAGUCUUUCAAAACCCUAGCAUAGGAAGGUAUUUCUCUAAUAACCGUGAGGAAGGGUAUUUAUCUAAUACCCGGUACUUCCACUACUUGGACUUCCUUUAGAGACCUUGAGAGUCUCUGGGGAUAAGGUACAGGCGGGUUGUAAGUUCGUGGAGGGUCCACAAUCUCACGGGCAAUCUUCUUCGGCUUAAAGGUGGUCGCCACAUUAGCUGGAGCUUUAGGUGGGGUAACAGGUGCAGAGGUAACCGGGGUCACAAUGUUGCUACUCGGUGUAUAAUUAAUUUGAUUAUCAACCUGUUUUCCUGACCUAAGGGUGGAAACCGAUUUAACUUCAGCAAGUGGUACAGACAGAUUUGAAGUAUUUGUCACCAAGGCAACUUCCUUGCCUUUGGGGUUUGGGAUGGACUGUCCUGGAAAUCUACCCUUUCCAGCAAGUUUUUGUUCAAUCCUCUGGAUGGCUUGGGCAUUUGAUUCAAUGGACGCCUGGGUAUGUUCAAUGAAAUGGGCAAGCACAUCCUCAAGGGAGGUCUUAGGUGGGGCAGAUUGAUUAGUUGGCAUAUGGUCCCUGGAACCACUCAUGUGAUGAGCAUUGUUCGAGUAAGGGGGGACCGUUGCCCAUAAGAGUUAUUAAAACUAGGUGGAGCCGCAUGAUGAUUAUUAGAAGAAGAUAGAUUGGAGCGGUCCAUGUAUGGGUACGUGGCAUUACCCUUAGUAAAGUUGGUUCUCCCGGCGUAGUUAAACGCACAGGCUUCCUUAGUUUCUGGUGAAUUAUAAAGGAGAGGGAAAAAUUCGGCAGUAUGGGUCUGGUCAUGACAAGCAUCAAAUUGGAGAGUGGAGGUACCCAUAACAGGUGAUAGGGGCUUUAAAGACACAGCAAGUGCUUCUACCUGUUUUACUAAACCAUGAAGUAAAAUUUUAAGCUCAGAGUCAGGUUUGACUUCAUAAAUACCUCCAUGUUGAUCUAUGUUGAUUAAAGACUAUUGUUAGAGUAUAGGGAGACCUAGCUAUAAUGGUUGUAUUAGAUUAAUUAGAGAUAUGUGAUGGAAUAGCUGGGAGAUGACUAUCAUAUAUUUAGAAUAAAUCUCUUUUAUUGGACCCCUUUUGUAAUCAAAUUAAAUAGCUGGGAGGUGACGAUUUGAUUAUGAAUUAAUAUGUUGAGUUAAUUGAAUUGAAUAGAUGAGAGGUGAUGAUUUAAUUAAUGAGAUAUAUUCAAUAGCACAUAUAAAGAAUCCCAUUUUAAUUGAAUGGAAUAGCUGAGAGGUGACUAAUUAAUUGUUAUAGAUUGAACAUGAAAGGAUAACAUUUUAUGUUUGCAUGAUUUAGUUUGUGGAUACCAUAAGAUCUUCUUUAUAUCUCUAUCCAUCUUCUUAAGUUAGUUUAAUUAUUAGUUUAUUUGUUUAUUGCCUGUAGGAAGUAGAAUCAAUUUCUCUCUUAUUUAUGAUUCACUUGGUUUUCUUUAACCAUUGUUUUCUAUUGUGUUUGAGCUAAGAUCUUCACAUUUAAGGUGGGUACGACCCUUGCUUGUUACUUGUCUACAUUGAUAACCAAUAUUUACAGGCACAAGAAGGAACUUCAUUAUAAAUCUAUCUUUUGAUUAGAGGUUACACAAAUAGCUGCUAUCAAAAUGGCGUCGUUGCCGCUCUAAGGAACGGAGUUCAUUCAAACACAAGCGAGAAUAGUAGUUCCGGGACAUCAUCCCACUUCUAUUCCUCCCACUCUUCUAAUUCUAUUUUUUUUAGUAAUUGUUUUUAAGUGUCUUGGUACUUAGUCCUCUUACUAAUCUUACAGCAAAGACGAAUUGAAAAAAGCUCAAGGAAUGAAGCCAAUAUCUCAAUUUCAAAAAGAUCGCGCACACAAGAAUUUCCCAGAAAAGUUAUUGGUUGAUAUUGGUCUCGAUCUCGAGUCGAGUUCUUUAUAGCCUUAACUAAUCUCGAGUUGAGUUCCCAACGGGAAAAAGACACGUGUUUGUGGGACCUACAGAAGACAUUUCAGAACACCUUUUUGAUUAAUUUUUUUCUGUUGAGUGAUUGUGAGGCUGAACUAAGUACUUUAUUUUUACAGUAUAUUUAGAGACUUGUAAGAUAUUUAAUUUUUCGAUCUACGAGGGGUCGCGGCUGUAAUAUUUUUAAACUAGGUGUUGUUAGGAUUUAUUAUUUGUGUGUUUGUGGCGGAUAGUAGAGCAAGGUUGUGGAGCUAGCCUUGAGUCUACUAAGGAACGACUCCUAAGGACGAUUGAAACCCAAGGAUCGGUUGCCCCUUAGUCGACUUCAACUCGUCUUCUCCCCACUUUUGUGCGCUUGUGUUGGCAUUUUUUAUUUUCUAGCACAAAGUGGGAGGUAAGCGUCAUAACCCUCCUUGAAUCCCCUACAAGAGGAGUUUCUGUAAUGAUUAGCCUGACCUUGAAUGUUGCUUGAUUUUAAUUCAGUUUUUCCUUUUUGCUAAACCGGGAUUGACGCUGGACCUGGCCUAAGAAAAGUGAAACUUAAUACCAAUUGCUUGCAAUAUCCUACGCUUUAAAAUUGAAUCAACUAAAACCAUGCUAUCACAAUGUUCAUUUAAGACCUUGAGCAGAUAUUUCAACUAGUACCGCGUGAACCCUUUUUUGAUUCGAGCACAAGCUAAGAAUUGGGUGUGGAACCCCUACAGAUUUUGUUUGUGGAAUCAUUGUGGUUUUUAAUUAAGGAACGUCGCUUAUGCACGGAAAACCUCCGACACUGGUUAUUCGCUACUUGACUCUCAAAAUAUAGGGAGAAUUCACACAAAAUUGAGUCAGUUUUUGAGCCCCUUGUUAGAUGUUUUUGAAUGGUUAAGACUUCUAUGGCAUAUGUAAUGUGCAUGUUGCAUGCAUCUUAGAUCCGAUAAAAUAUUGUCCAAUCCUAUUCAAGUCUACACAAAGAGCACAAUCAUGGGCCACACUCCUUCUGAGGAAGAGUUCAACGACUCAACCUCCAUACCUUCUUCUGAGAACGAGUUCAACGACUCAACCUCACUUACUGAAGUAAAUCCUGCACCUAUGGCUCACGAAGCUACCCUAAGGGAUUACUUUUCACCUUUUGCCACUGGGCCACCUACCUGCAUAGUCUUGCCCGAGACAACUGCAGAUAGCUAUGGCAUCCGCCCUCAGAUUGUGGGCAUGUUGCCUAAGUUCCAUGGACUUCCACGGGAAGAUCCAUAUCAACACCUGAAUAAGUUUCUGACCGUGCUUAAUACUUUCAAGGAGAAACAUUUGUCUGAAGAGGAAGUUAGGUUUAGAUUGUUCCCUUUUUCUCUAGAGGAUCGUGCAUCUCACUGGUUACAUGGCCUUCCUCCCAAUUCUAUUGACACCUGGGCUCAACUAAGCAAAAGGUUUUUGACCAAAUUUUUUCCAAUUACCAGAACCAUUAUAUUGUUGAUCCCAUCAGAAAUUUCCGGCAGAAAGAGGGUGAGGUUUUCUUUGAUGCAUGGGAGAGGUAUCAAGACCUAUUUCUUCGGUGUCCACACCACAGAGUUGAUGACACAGAAAAAAGUCAGGAUCAUGUAUAGUGGCCUCAAUUAUACAACUAGAAACAUGGUCGAAGGCAUGAGCGGUGGAGGCUUUCUUGAUCUAUCCACUACCAAGGCUUUUGCAUUCUUUGAAAAACUAGCUACUAAUAGCCAACAAUGGUAUUUACCUGAACAAACCCCAAGAAACACUACCCCGAACUCAUAUGAUAAACCUAGAGGCAUGUAUGAGGUCAAACCCGACCCCGGGCUUAAACCAUUACUUCAUGGUUUAGUAAAAAAGGUAGAAGCACUUGAGGUGUCCUUAAAACCCACGUCACCUGUCAUGAGUGCCUCCACUCUCCAAUGUGAUGUUUGUCAAGACCCAUCCCAUAUUGUCGAAGUUUGCCCUUUCCUUUACACUUCACCUGAAACUGAGGAUGCUCGUGCGUUCAACUACAUCGGGCUAACAAACUUCACAAGGGGCAAUGCCACGUACCCAUACAUGGACCGUUCAAUAAUAAUAAUAAUUAUACAGCUCCACCUGGUUUUAAUAACUCUUAUGGGCAACGUAGCAAUGCGACCUAUGCUGGUUAUAAUGAUAAUCGGAACAGGGUGUCGGUUCCCCCUUAUUCGAACAAUGUUCGUCACAUGAGGAUGUUCUUGCCCGUUUCAUGCAACAAACGCAAGUGUCCCUUGAAAUGAACGUCCAAGCCAUUCAACAGAUAGAAUAAAAACUUGAUGAAAAUGGCAAAUUUCUGGGACAAGCUAUCCUGAAUCCCAAGGGCAAAGAAAUUGCCUUGGUGAUAGAAACUCCGUCUACAUCACCACUGAUUGCAGGUUGAUAAUCACCCCAGUUAGAUUCAGGCAUGAUACACUUUUUAGUUGUUGACCAAUAAGUGCUCUCCACAUUUCACACUUAUUGGUCAAGAACUUGAAUCUUGAUUAAUUAUACACCAAGUCAUAACUUUGUGACCCCGGUUACCACAACACUUGUUGGGCCACCUAAAAGUCCGGCUAAUAAGACUACCACCUCUAACCCAAGGAAGCAUACCCGUGAGAUUGUGGAUUCUCCAUAGACUUAUAAUCCGCCCAUGCCUUACCACCAAAGACUCACAAGGUCUCUUAAGGAAGGCCAAGCAGAGGAGGUACUUGAUGUGUUCAAGCAUAUAAAUAUUAUUAUACCUUUCCUCACGGCUAUUAAAAGAUACAUUCUUAUGCCAAGGGUUUAAAGGACUUGUGCACCACGAAGAGAAAAACAAAUGUGCCCAAAAAGCGCGGUUGUGGCGGAAGAAUUCUCUGCACUUGUCCAACAUAACUGCGUGGUCAAAUAUAAGGACCCUGGAAAACCUACCUUACCGUGCAAGCUUGGUGAGAAGUUCAUGGGUAAAGCUUUGUUAGACCUAUGAGCGAGUGUCAAUCUCUUGCCUUACUCCUUAUACACUAGUUUGGCUCUAACAAACAUGAAACCCACGAGCAUGUCUUUACAACUGGCCGACAGAUCAUUGAAAGUACCUAGAGGAGUAGUUGAGGAUCUCUUAGUCAAAGUGUCUGACUUUUACUAUCCUGUUGAUUUUAUGGUGUUGGACACUGAACCUACUGCCGAUGACUCGGUUCCCAUUAUCCUUGGUCGUCCAUUUUUGUCCACCUCUAAUGCCCUCAUCAACUGCCAAAAUGGUUCUAUGGUUCUCACUUUUGGAUCUAUGACCGUUGAAGUUAAUAUCUUUAAUAUUGGCCAUCAACCCCCUGAUCUUUCUUUAUCUAAAGAUGUGUGUCAUCUCGAUCCUCUACCCUAUGAGAUGGUACCUAUUUAUUACCCUGAUGAUCCGGUUGUUAAUUGCCCUACCAUGCAUAAUGCUAACUUUGGCAUCAAUCAAUCUAUUAUUCAAACCAACGCUAGUUUUGAUUUUGUGCCUAUCUUUGACCCCAAAGACCCUGAGGCCAUUUAUUCGAUUUGUUGCAUUGAUUCUGAGUUCCAAGUCGAGACCAUCCCUCCAUCUCCUGAUCCUCUUCCUCCCGAGCUGAAAUGUGCCCAAUUUGUUUCGGACGGUAGUCAUCCUGUUAUCAUCUCUUCAUCUCUUACUACCGAACAGAAAAAUCAGCUUUAUUUUCACAUUGGUGACAAAGUUUUACUUUAUAAUCCUCAUUCGCAUUUAUUACAUGUCUCGUUGGUCGGGCCCCUUUGUUGUGUCUGUAGUAACUCCUUAUGGUUGUAUUACAUGCGUUAAUCCUGCAUACGGUUCUGAAUUUCAAGCCAAUGAUCAAUGUCUUAACCAUUUUCAUGAGUUAAGGCCCCCUGAAACUUUCCUAGAGGGUCCUACCUCUUUAGACUGACCCUUGACCUGCUGGUAUCCGGACCCUCUCUUGUUCUUUUUCUCUUGGAAGGUGUGGUUGAAAGUGAUGGGACCGUUAGUCCACAAAAUCUUACUAGUUGAGUAUAAUUGAUCCAGUACACGUUUUUCUUUUGAGAGUGUCACAACCAAACAGACCUGUUUCCCGCUCUCUUUGGGGGUGGGGAAGUCAUUUCCCAUCUUCUUUUAAGUCUCGAGUAUAUGACUUUAAAAGACUCUUUGUUGUAUCUUAGACAUCGGGAUCUCGCGCAUUCCACUCUAGCGUUUUAUCUCUCCUGUAUGUUUGUUUUGAGUAGCGUUUAUCUAGGGAGUGAGUCGGCUUGUAUGUCCUCCUGUCUGGCUAAAGACGUUAAACUUAGCGCUCCUGGGAGGUACCUCUGUGUAUCCUUUAAGCCCGAUCGUGCUUUACUUCUCUGUUUGUUGCCGGGUUUAGUUGUAUUUUGGCCGAUAAACCGCUCGUUCUACCAUCUGUCCUCAGUUCUGUUUGGGGGUGGGCGCGGCCGGCCCACCAACUCUCGUUUUGCCGUUUGGCUGGUUGAUAGUUAUUGUGGUCACAAAAUGUAUUGUUUUAAGAUAGGAUUUUCCUUUAUGUUGAGUCAUAUUUCAACAUAUUUUAUUUUGUUUGGCAGGAAUUUAUAAAAGCAGUCUGAAUUUUUAGUACAUUCAUCGUAAUAUCUUUCUUUCUCUCUUUCUUAUGCUUAGUAUGAUCCUUGAGGACAAGCCAAUAUUUUUGUUUGGGGGUGGGGAAGUAUUACAACUGUGUGGAUCUUAGGUAAAAUACCCGACAGGUGUCAUCAGUGGCUGUAUAAGAAGCUAAACCGGGAACAUCUAAGCAUUAGCCAGCCAGGCCUGCGCUAUCGGGUAGAGCCCAACCCGGUCUCAAGAAAUCCACAUACGCUCUGUGGAUCUUGACCCACCGGAUGGUUCACGAUCAGUGGGUGGAGCCCUGGUUACUGUAUAAGAAGUUAAACCGUGGGCUCCCAUACAUCAACAAGGCCUACCUCAAUCAAGUAAGCCUGGUCCGGCCCAGUAAAGUCCAGCAGCGACAGAGGCUCGUCCAAAGGCUUAUCAUAGAAGCCCAGAGAACCUGGCCAGGGUGUAUGCAAUGCAGAUUGGGCCUCCGGUCCGAGGAGUCAAGCCCAAGCCUUUGUUUUAAGACUUGGUCAUAUCCAAGUCCCAACCAACUGGAUAAGUCCAGCAAAAUUCUAGGCUAACAGAACCCGUUCUUCAAGCCCGCUGGAGAAGAUAAAAGAAGACCCAAAUUGAACCAGAGCCUAUCAGAGGAUCCCAUGUGGCAGUCAUCCUGGUCAAAGGGGAUUCAAACAGAGGGAUAACCGCCCAGCAGCAUGCAAGCUAUCUCUGCGGAAACAUCUUCACAGUUGAACUACCUGAGUUCAUGGAGUCAAAACCGGAGGGGUGGUUGAGCCAGCCUCCUCCGGUCUACUAUAAAUACAGGAGUUCUUAACCUCCUGAACUACGAGUCUUUCACUGAGCAACUUUAUUAGAGUUUAGUGGAAGCAGAGGCUUGAUUCCAAGUUCAUCUUCUUGGAUACGUAGGCAGUCUGAUUCUCAUCAGGUCCAGUCUCAUUUUAUACCCCCAUCCCAUCUCAGUCUGUACAAGGCUUUCUUUGUGACUGUUCGAUUAAUCAAUACACAUUUCGAGUUUGUGGAUCAAAUUUUUGCACCCACACUCUUUGGCACCCACCGUGGGGCUGAAUCUCCCAUCAGUUCCAGAGCCUUAAAAAAAAAAAAAAUCUCAAUUCAGUGAUACCGGAGUCGCUGCAGCAAUGGCUGGAAGUAAGAGAUGCUUAACUCGUUCCAACAAUGAAAUGAGCCAAGUUACUGAAAUUCAGACUGAGAACCUUUCUCCUCUAUCUCCGGUCUUUGAAGCAACAGAACCUGUCAAUCAAGAAUCCGUUCUCGGGAGUGAGGGCCAUGACCAUGGCUCACAACAUUCUGAAAGUGGACAGCCGGAGACAGAAAACUUAGUGGUACAAAUCACUAAUGAUACUGGUAAUCCGAAUACAGUCAACCGGACUCUCAGGAUACCAGCAUCACAAGAUUUUGAACCUUCCAGAGUAGCCGCUGCAAGAAGAGACCAGAGAACUAUUCCGCCAGCCACGGGAGGAGGUUACACCGAACAGCAGAAGGGGAAAGGCCCAGCGGCCGAAUCCCCAACAACAAUCAUCAAGCGGCUAACCAAGGAGAACGCAGAACUAAGAAGAAAGAAGAUAACCAGGGCCGGAGAUGAUCGAUCUGGCUGUUUCCAACAAGGCCAGCCGGGAUGAACGAAUCAUGAAGUUUACUAUCUCAAGGUUGGCUGUGUCACCCCUGGCAGAAGAGGUCAGGAACCAUAUAGUCCCGACCAGCUUCACGCAGCCGCCCUUCGAACAGUAUGACGAGACAAACGGCUGCCCAAUUCAGCACGUCAUGAACUACAAGAGUACCAUUGCUAUAUGGGACCAUGAUGACAAGUUACUCGGAAAAUAUUUGUUGCUUCACUCAAAGGUGAAACACAGACGUGGUAUCACAACCUGCCGCCCGUAUCCAUCCGCACAGUCCUACAACUGGCUGAGUUGUUCGAGGAAAAUUACCGUUUCAACGUGAAGACAAAGAAGAGAGUUGAAGUCUUGUUCUCCCUACAGAUGGACCGGAGCGAGACACUCAGGAACUUCGCCCAAAGGUUCCGAACCUUACUAUCAGAAGUACAAGACGUAUCUGAUGGCGUCGUUAUUCAAGCUUUCAAGUAUGCCUUGAACAACAGCCAUGAAGAGUUGUACCGGUCGCUAGCAAGGAAGCCUCCAACCUUUGUUCAUCUUUGCUCGAGAAAGUGGAAAGGUAUGCUCAGGAAGAGGACGACCUGAAAGCUAGAAUAGACUUGCCAAAAGCUAAAAAAAAUGAAGAAGCUUCACAGCCCGGCAUCGAGACUAGCACACAGAGCGAGCCAAGUCUUCCCUCUCAGGGUCAGAUACAGGACCCACCAGAAUCACAACUUGAAGACUGGAAUCCUUGCCUCACCAGAGUCCUGAUAGAAGUAAUGCCACCUUCAACGGAGCCGGACGAAUCGGACCCGUUAGAACCACCGCUUUCACAUGUUCACAUCGAUUUGGAGCUCCCACCGGAGGAACCAAUCAAAGAUAUUCCAGACAACCUGAAUUCUGAAAUAGACAGAAUUGAUGCCGAACUACAGUCUAGCAACGGUCAUGACUUGAGGAGGCCAUACAUUAACAUCCUCAUCCACCAUCAACUUCCCUAAGAUUCAAAGCUAUCAACCAAAGUUAGGAGGGAUGCGUGGAAGUUCACUGUCAUCUUACACCGGGAGUCACACAGGUUAUACAUGAAAAGCUACGUCUCCGGGGUCUUGUUCAAAUGCCUCACUCCAGAGAAAGGCCUGAUCAUACUAAAGAAAAUCCAUGCGGGGAUCUACGGCAACCAUUCCGGGAGCAGAAACCUGGCACAGAAGACAAUGAUCCAAGGAUAGUGGUGGCCGCACAUGAUGACAGACGCCAAGAAGUUCACCCAGACAUGCCUCCCUUGUCAGAAGCAUGCCCCAGUCGGUCAUGCCCCGGCGAAUGAACUGCACCCCAUCCUAAGUGCAUGGCCUUUCGCCAAGUGGGGACUAGAUAUUGUGGGACCUCUCCCAAAAGCUCCACACUCAGUCAGGUUCCUACUUGUCACUAUAGAUUAUUUCACCAAAUUGGUUGAAGUCGUAGCAUUGGUACAAGAAUGUGCCUCUGAUGUCAGAAGAUUCCCGUGGAAAGAUAUAAUCUGCAAGUUUGGAAUCCCCCAGGAGCUGGUGUCAGAUAAUGGAAAAUAGUUCAACUGCGAUAAUAUAUGGCUAUCCUGCAAGUCUUUGGGGAUCAAACACAACUUCUCAGCCCCAUACUAUCCCUAGGGGAAUGGGCAAGCAGAAGCAUCUAACCGGGUGAUCAUGGAUACACUCAAGAAGCGAUUGGAUAAAGCAAAAGGUAACUGGGUAAUGUAACUCCCGGGGGUCUUAUGGGCAUACCAGACCACUCCAAGAAGGUCCACUGGUAUGACACCCUUUCAACUUACCUUGGGAGCAAAAGCGAUAAUGCCAACAGAACUGCUAGCUCCGACAACUCGCACUGAUGCAGUCUGUUUCAACCGGAUUUCACACCAAUGUGAUGUAAGAUCAAGAAGAAACCUCUAAUGUUAAGAUCUAAUGUAUUGGAGAAGAUGAAGGAAUAGAGUUUUGGUGAUUGAUAAUAGCUACACUAAUUUGUUUCUUAGUUGCUUACGUAUCCAUAAGAGAGAUGAAUGAAGCCUUUUAUAAAGUAGUUCAAAUGUAGAGUUUGAUUGGGAUUAGGAUGUGAUCCAUUGAUCCCUAAUGUAGUGUAGUGUUGUAGUCCCAUGUAUUUGGACCAUAUAACGACAAGAUAAUAUACCUCAUGUCUUAUUAGGAACAUGAGUUGUAAAGAUAUUGAAAUUGUUAUUGGAUUAGGAGUUCUAGAGAUAUUGGAGUUGUAGUUGGAUUAGGUUAAGGAAAUCUCUACAAAGAUGUAGAAUUACCAUAUUAACCUUAUUGAAUAUAAUGGACUUAAAUAGAUAAAGACCAUGAUUGAUAUUGAUAGAGCCCAUGAUUGAUAUUGAAUGUAGUAACGGGUCUAAGCCUUAUUACUACUUGAAUUGGGCUUAGGCCCUUAUUGAUAAAGUCUUGGGCUUUGACUUGUAAUUGACUUGGGCUUGAGCCCGUUAAGGGGGGUCAACACAUCGCCCCCUCUUUAGCCGAUGGGUGAAACCCGUUGGGUAAAGAACUAAAAACGAACGCAAUCGGAGUAAAGAAACAGGCGGUAGGAAAUUAUAGGAAAAUAAAUUGAACAUGAACUGAGUAAAGAAACAUACGGUAGAAAUUUAUAGAAAAAUAAAUUGAACUCAACUGAGCAAAAAAACAGGGGAUAGAAAUUUAUAGAAAAAUAAAUUAAACACAACUGAGCGAAGAAACAGGCGAUAGAAAUUUAUAGAAAAAUAAAUUAAACUCAACUGAGCGAAGAAACAGGGGAUAGAAAUUUAUAGAAAAAUAAAUUGAGCGACAUAAAUUAGAACGAGAAUUGGGUUCAACCAAAAAUCCGAGCAGAAAUAAAUAAAAUUUAAGUGACGAAAAUCCGGCCGAAAAGGAAAUGGGCUUGAAAAACAAGAGAUAGUGAAGUGUAGGGAAUUGAAAAUAUAUCAUUUCGGAAAUUCGGAAACGAAGGUGGAGAGGGACGGUGGCUUUGAAAUUGGACGUGAGUUCCAAGAAUUGAAUGUACAUUGGCAAUGGGAAAGGCGAGGCGCAAUCGAGACGAACAUAAGUCCCGAGACAAGUCCCAAUCCCGAGAUACAUCCUAAUCCAAUUGUGGGGUCCACUGCUGCUGGUGGAGGAACAAGACCCGAGACACCACAACUGUACAACAUCCCGACCAGGUCUACUGUUGUUGAGCAAGGACCCGACAAUCUGCCAGCACAACCUGGCAAGCGACUAGGUGCAGCUGGUGUCAUGGAUGAGGAGGUUGUUGCUGGGGGAGGGAAUAGGCUGAGCGAGUAGGGGAGAGGCUGGUAGGCAGGAGGGGAGAGUUAGCUGCUGCUGCUGCUGGGGAGUUGGCUUAGGGGGUAGCCGCUGGAGGAGGGAAGAGUUAGCUGUUGGGGAGUUAGUUGUUGGAGAGGAGGAAAUAGCCUUACGGCAGGCAGGGGGCUGGGGGGGUAGCCAUUGGAGAAAGAGUAGGCAAGAGGCUGGAGGAGCACACAGCCGCAGGAGAGGAGACAUGCUAAGUGUUGGAGGAGUACACAGCUGCUGAGUGAGGUGAUAGCCUAGAGUGUACCGGAAACUCCAGCAGCAAUGGACAUGACAAACAUGUGUCCAGCAGCUAUGGACAUGACAAUUCCAUAUUUAGCCAAAUUUUCCAAAAUCUCCAGCGGCUAUGCAUCCUACAAAAGAACUAUCAGAUCUUUGGAGUUGUUUUCCCGCCAGAAUACGUAUCUCCAGAAGAUGUGCCAUAUACCAUUGGAAAUCUAAGGUAGUCCUCUGUCCAUACCAGAAAACAGAUCGACAUUCUGAUCUCUGAGAAGAAAGUUAUGGCCAAUCCAAUCACUGUCCAAAUGGAGAUACCGAAAAAAUGGAACAACAAUUAUCUCUUGGCAAGUCGGACGAGAAGAUAGCUGGGGGCAUGGCUGUUGGCCAAGAGGAUGGCCUAGAGGGAGACAAGGUUGAAAAGAGUUGCGUAGGGUGUAUGAGUAUAAGAUGAUAAAAUGGUAAGCGAUUUGAUUGCAAGCGUAUGUAGACUUUAACACGGGUGUGAUAUAUGUAAAUCAUGUCUUGAUAUAGACAUAAUUAUUGGAGAUCAUGAUACAAAUUACUAGGUAAAGGUACUAUUGUAGUUGGCCAAGAUAAAGGAUUUCCUAUUUCCUAAAAUUCUUAUCCUUGUGUAACGAGGAUAACUCUUACAAAGACUUUCCUUUUCCUUGUCCCACAAGGAAAAGGAAACUAAGUUCCUAAAAGAAGGAUACACAUGUAUCAUGGCUCCCCCCUUUAAGAGCUUAAACUCCCGUUUAAGUUAGAAACGGAGAUUAGGGAACUCGAGAGCUCCCUGGUCUUUGCAGCUGAAGCAUUUAGCUUUGCUUGGAACUUGACAAGCACGCCCAAUGCGAAACAUUAAUCGUCUCCCACUUCGUGUAUUAGCCACCUUGCCCUCCAAUAUGCAAUCUUCCUUGAAUGUCUCCUCUCGAUCAACCCUAGGACAUGUCAUCAAGUCAAACUUCCCACAAGCAUUUACUAACCUUUUAUCCUGUGUUAUCGUUACCAAGUCAAUUCCUUUUGGAGGUGGAAUUGCUCGAAUAACAAACUGUUCUCCACCUUUAGUGAAUGUAUACUUCUGAGCCCUCUUAUCAAAAAGAGCAUACCUAUCCCACAAGUAGGGAUUUCCUAGAACAACCUGACAAACCUCCAAUGGAACAACGUCACAUGUCACCCAAUCAAUAUAAGACUCAUGAAGAACAAAUUUGAAUGUGCAUUGAUGUUUCACACUCGAGCCGCCAUCCUUCCGAAUCCAUCCCAAUGGAUAAGGCUUAGGAUGCUUCACGGUUUUAAAACCAAGCUUAUGAACCAAAGCUUCUAAAAUCAGAUUUUUCUGACUUCCUAGAUCUACAAUAGCGUCCACUAAACUGGUCUUCACCUGUAACUUAACACAAAAGAGUUGCUCUAUGGGGUCAUCUUCUUCAACUUGUAUAUGAUUACAUGUCAUCAUGUUGAGCUUGAGGUUCGGCUCUGUCAUCCCUGGUACUUCCUGUGGACCUUGUGCGACUAAAGCUGCAGUCUUUUUCCCCUCCUUCUCUUUCAACCCUUUUGGUUUGAGAUGUGGAUACAUCUCCUAGCAUUUGUGCAUCACAUGUCCCGGUUCUUUACAAUGACUGCAAACUAAUCCUUCCUUCCCAUUAGACUCACAUUUUCCCUUCUUAGCAUCAUCCUUCUUGGCACCGGAACCAUUAGGUUUGCCACCAGAUUGCUUUCCAUCUCCCUUUAUGUCAUUUUUCUUCAACUUGCCUUCAAUGGCAAUAGCUUUCACAGUAGCCUCCUGUAUAGUUUCUACUGUAAACAACUUCAACUCAUUCCGAAUAUACCCACCUAAACCUGCCACGUACUUCAUGUAUAUGGAGUAAUCCUUUAGAUUAAUAUCCAAAACUAUUGAUUGAUUCUGAAAUUCGGUUGUAUAUUCUUGAACGGAUUGAUUGAAUCUCUGGCGUAAGUUAUACCACUUCUGCCAUCUUUCUUCCAGAAAUCUGUAACGCCCCAAAAUCAUAAUACGAAUCCCCAUGACUCAAUGUCAGGUCUCGAGGCAUUAGAAAACUCCAACCCAUUAUAAUCAUAUAAUAAUACCACAUUAUGAAUGAUAUUUAUGUAUAUAAUUGGCUUUAAAAAUACAUAACUUAAUAUAAUACAUAAUAAUACAAAUUAUGAUCACUUCUAUACAAAAGAAACUAAGUACAUCUAUCGCACGAAUACCUAUACCAAUACCCUCUGUAACCUCCGCACAACCAUAUCUGUUGAAUCGAUCUAUCCUCGAGCAACAGUUUAACUGAAAAGGGAUUAAUGAUAGGGUGGGCAUUUCCACUUACUCAGUAGUGACUCACAUUUCCAAAAUACUAUCUAAUCAUGCAUGACGAUUAACCAUACGAAAUAGUUGAAAUAAUGCAGGUUUUAACUGUAAUAAUAAAAUAUAUAAGUAAUUUGAUAAGUAAAUACUUUAAACCAAACCUUUUACCUUUUAUAGUAAUCAUACUAACCAUGCAUCCAUACAAUAAGUCGGGUAGUUGCAUCCUAUUAGAAUGAUGAGAUACGACCGUUAUAUCGCCCCGGUCGCAGGCAAUCUCUUGGUUCAAUACUUACCAGUGUGAACCUACACCGUUAUUUCCUGAUUUCCGGUGGGGUGACUGUAUUACUGUUAUUGUGUUCCCAGAACACUAAACCCGUCUAUUUAGGCUCAGGUGAGCCUUUGGCCACGAUUCCUGAUACAAGGAAUCCCUGACUUAUGGUGGUCAACCGUUCGACGACUGCCGACUGCACAGGAUCCUGACACACGUCCAGGAGUGGACUAACUCUCACCCCUCGUGUCUAAACCUCACCGAGGUAACAUGUAGCCUCAUCUGAACUAAUAUAUCAACAAUGUACCACUACAUGAUUGGUGGUCUGGAAUGGUGAAAAGGAAUUCUCGGAUACAUCUCUAAUGUAUCUCUCUAGAAGGCAGCCCAUUCACCUUCUAAAGGUGAACACCAUAGAUGUCAUCCUAGAAUGAACUACCGUCUCCGGAAUAUGACAACAACUCAUUCUUUAUAGGAAUUCACAAGUCCCUCUCCAAACUACCUCAUUAUAUAAAUAUAUAUAAUUUUAGUUACUUUCUUUUUAUUUUAAUUAACUAUAUAUAUAUAUAUAUAUAUAUAUAUAUAUAUAUUAAAUGUGUGGUGAGUCCCCAGAUUUAAACAAUAUCCAUGGCUACCCUAACCGGGCCACAACCAUAAUCGUGACAGCAUACCAGAUCAAUAUUUCCACCAAUCUAGGGACCUCACACAUCCCAGUUAUACAUUACAAUCGAGUUUCCUUGCUCUGCAUUACAAAAUCAAAUCUUUUCCACCAUUGGAAAGAGAUUUAUCGAGAAAUCCUUUUAUAAAACCAUUUCAAUAUACAUAUACUACUUUAAUAACUCCAGUUUAAAACAUGAUAUCUGUAACUAAUCACUUUAAUAAAAACUAUAAUCGAUAAACCACGAGUAAUCUAUAUAUACCAAACAAAACCAAGCAUGCAUUUUUAUCAUCAAUAAUAUAUCAAUUAAUUUACAACAUUUAAAAUAUGACACAUAAAAAGACAGUAUAAAAGAAAUGUAAAUCCCUACCUCAAUGCGCUCCUGCACCACUUCCAAAACCCCGAAGAAAUGCACUAUGCCAAACUCCUAAAAUGACAAUCAAAAUCAUAAAUAUAUAAUCUAUAAAAUAAUGUGAAACUACCACUUAUUGCCCUAGUCGCGCAGUCUCGUGUUCCUAACAGGUUUUGCACUCCCUAUUACGCUCAAUCAAACCCUACAGGUCAGGAUAGCCAUUUCUGGUCACAAGUAUUAAACUAGCUGGUCACCAAUAAAGUUGGAACAAACGAAUUACCAGGGUGUAUGUUCCAGGCCAAGCACCAAAACCGGCCUCAAUCGAACUACCAGAUCUCAUCACUCAGGUGGACAUAGACUAUUAAAGAGGGUAUAUAUGCUUCUAGCUACAGCCCCUUCCUUUAACCAUUCCUAUUAAUCACUACAUUUCCUAUAUUGAUUAACCACAAAUAUAGAGUGAUACCUAUAUAUCCAGUGAGUUGUGUGCUUCAAACCACUAAUCACAUUUUGGUGUUUCACUAAAGUUAUCGAGUCCCUAUCUUACAACUUAAGUGACGAGAACAUACCGGUGCGUCAAAACUAGAUUCCUCUUGCUGAUCACAUCCUAUUCAUUCAUUUUCUUUGAUUGUUUUCUUCAUUCAACCACAAAUUCAACUUCUCUUCUUAAUCACUUCCCUCCAUUUUUGGCGUCUUAUUCUUUUGUUCUUUGAAUUUCUUUCUUUAUUUUCUUCACAAGGCAAACUAGAAAAUCAGGUGCUUAAGAAUUGAAAAUGUGCUCAACUGUAACCUUAUUAAUUUCUAUUAAUCUUCUUCCCCAAGCAAAAGAUAGGAAGGUGAGAUGUAUUGCACAAACCGACGUACUGGCUAUUACUUUUCAC